UACGUAGGGGGCUAGCGUUAUCCGGAAUUACUGGGCGUAAAGGGUGCGUAGGUGGUUUCUUAAGUCAGAGGUGAAAGGCUACGGCUCAACCGUAGUAAGCCUUUGAAACUGGGAAACUUGAGUGCAGGAGAGGAGAGUGGAAUUCCUAGUGUAGCGGUGAAAUGCGUAGAUAUUAGGAGGAACACCAGUUGCGAAGGCGGCUCUCUGGACUGUAACUGACACUGAGGCACGAAAGCGUGGGGAGCAAACAGGAUUAGAAACCCCGGUAGUCC
rnacentral:rRNA from 1 species